rnacentral:tRNA from 1 species
GGGCCCAUAGCUCAGCUGGUUAGAGCACCUGACUCAUAAUCAGGGGGUCCCUGGUUCGAGCCCAGGUGGGCCCACAA